GACUAGAGUUCCUGACCUCCAGGCCAGUCCCUGAUUCCUGACCUAAUGUCACCGAGCAAUGAUGAACACUGCCUGGCCCUGGAGCCACUGGGAGGCCAACAAGGGAAUCCACGCCUGCUGGGGUGGGGAGCCCGGGAGGGCCCGGGAGAAGCACAAAGGGUGGGCUGUGCUGAGCUUCUUCUUUUCUUCCAGUAAAGAGACUGGAGAGGAGCUGGGCCCAGGGCUCCUCAGAGCAGGAACUCCACUAUGCAUCUCUGCAGAGGCUGCCAGUGCCCAGCAGUGAGGGACCUGACCGCAGGCACAGAGACAAGAGAGGCACCAAGGAGGAUCCCAGAGCUGACUAUGCCUGCAUUGCUGAGAACAAACCCACCUGAGCACCCCAGACACCUUCCUCAACCCAGGCGGGUGGACAGGGUCCCCCUGUGGUCCAGGCAGUAAAAACCAUGGUCCCCCCA
rnacentral:sRNA from 1 species